UACGUAGGAGGCAAGCGUUGUCCGGAAUCACUGGGCUUAAAGCGUGUGUAGGCGGGUCGUUAAGUGUCUUGUGAAAUCCCACCGCUCAACGGUGGAACUGCUGGGCAUACUGGCGAUCUUGAGCCACCUAGGGGCAGACGGAACAAGCGGUGGAGCGGUGAAAUGCGUAGAUAUCGCUUGGAACGCCGACGGUGAAAACAGUCUGCUGGGGGUGUGCUGACGCUGAGACACGAAAGCCAGGGGAGCGAACGGG
rnacentral:rRNA from 1 species